rnacentral:rRNA from 1 species
GUCCACGCCGUAAACGAUGUCUACUAGUUGUCCGGAGUCUUGUAUUCUGGGUAACGCAGCUAACGCGAUAAGUAGACCGCCUGGGGAGUACGGCCGCAAGGUUAAAACUCAAAUGAAUUGACGGGGGCCCGCACAAGCGGUGGAGCAUGUGGUUUAAUUCGAAGCAACGCGAAGAACCUUACCCGGCCUUGACAUCCUGCGAACUUUCUAGAGAUAGAUUGGUGCCUUCGGGAGCGCAGUGACAGGUGCUGCAUGGCU